GGAAGAGUAAUUCAGUAGAAAGAGUACUGACUCUGAAGUCAAUGGACCUGGAUUCAAAUUCCACCUCUGCCU
rnacentral:tRNA from 1 species